rnacentral:rRNA from 1 species
GUACGGGGGGGGCAAGCGUUGUUCGGAAUUACUGGGCGUAAAGGGCUCGUAGGCGGCCAACUAAGUCAGACGUGAAAUCCCUCGGCUUAACCGGGGAACUGCGUCUGAUACUGGAUGGCUAGAGAUUGGGAGAGGGAUGCGGAAUUCCAGGUGUAGCGGUGAAAUGCGUAGAUAUCUGGAGGAACACCGGUGGCGAAGGCGGCAUCCUGGACCAACACUGACGCUGAGGAGCGAAAGCCAGGGGAGCAAACGGGG